rnacentral:rRNA from 1 species
CACGUAGGGUGCGAGCGUUGUCCGGAAUUAUUGGGCGUAAAGAGCUCGUAGGCGGUGUGUCGCGUCGGCCGUGAAAACUUUCAGCUUAACUGGGAGCGUGCGGUCGAUACGGGCAUCACUUGAGUUCGGCAGGGGAGACUGGAAUUCCUGGUGUAGCGGUGAAAUGCGCAGAUAUCAGGAGGAACACCGGUGGCGAAGGCGGGUCUCUGGGCCGAUACUGACGCUGAGGAGCGAAAGCGUGGGGAGCGAACAG